GCGGUGGUAGUUCAGCGGUAGAACGCUUCCUUGCCAAGGAAGAGGUCGCCGGUUCAAAUCCGGUCCACCGCUCCA
rnacentral:tRNA from 2 species